GAUGAACGCUGGCGGCGUGCUUAACACAUGCAAGUCGAACGGAAAGGCUCCUGCUUGCAGGGGUACUCGAGUGGCGAACGGGUGAGUAACACGUGGGUGAUCUGCCCUGCACUUCGGGAUAAGCCUGGGAAACUGGGUCUAAUACCGGAUAGGACGAUGGUUUGGAUGCCAUUGUGGAAAGUUUUUCGGUGUGGGAUGAGCUCGCGGCCUAUCAGCUUGUUGGUGGGGUAAUGGCCUACCAAGGCGUCGACGGGUAGCCGGCCUGAGAGGGUGUACGGCCACAUUGGGACUGAGAUACGGCCCAGACUCCUACGGGAGGCAGCAGUGGGGAAUAUUGCACAGUGGGCGCAAGCCUGAUGCAGCGACGCCGCGUGGGGGAUGACGGCCUUCGGGUUGUAAACUCCUUUCGCUAGGGACGAAGCGCAAGUGACGGUACCUGGAGAAGAAGCACCGGCUAACUACGUG
rnacentral:rRNA from 1 species